rnacentral:rRNA from 1 species
UACGUAGGGACCAAGCGUUGUUCGGAUUUACUGGGCGUAAAGGGCGCGUAGGCGGCUUGACAAGUCACUUGUGAAAUCUCUGGGCUUAACCCAGAACGGCCAAGUGAAACUGUCGAGCUAGAGUGUAGAAGGGGCAAUCGGAAUUCUUGGUGUAGCGGUGAAAUGCGUAGAUAUCAAGAGGAACACCUGAGGUGAAGGCGGGUUGCUGGGCUGACACUGACGCUGAGGCGCGAAGCUAGGGGAGCGAACGGG